AAUGAGACACGAGCACCAGAGCUGAGCCCCCUGUGCAAAUUGGAACAAAUGAAUGACUUCAUGGAAUGAUUCCACUUGUCCCCACUGAAUUGACCCUGCUGGAUCUGCCCGCACCCGCAAGCAGCGCGGCCCAGGACACAGAUCAGAAGACCCUUGAUCUUUUUCUCUUCUGAAAGAAGGAAAAUGUCCUCACGAACAAAGGAGUUGGGAGUUGAUCCUGCAGAGCUGAGGGAUGGAGUGGCCCUCACUGGAGCAUGAUGCAACAGCCUUCAGAGCGAGAAGGAAGACCUGGAGAGGGGCUGGGAGGACAAGCUGUGUCUGCUUCAGGAGCGGCAGCAGGAGGAGCUGCAGGCACAGGAGGGGUGGCUGCGGGAGGAGCACAGCCUGGAGGUCAGU